rnacentral:rRNA from 1 species
GACGAACGCUGGCGGCGUGCUUAACACAUGCAAGUCGAACGGAAAGGCCCUGCUUUUGUGGGGUGCUCGAGUGGCGAACGGGUGAGUAACACGUGAGUAACCUGCCCUUGACUUUGGGAUAACUUCAGGAAACUGGGGCUAAUACCGGAUAGGAGCUCCUGCUGCAUGGGGGGGGUUGGAAAGUUUCGGCGGUUGGAGAUGGACUCGCGGCUUAUCAGCUUGUUGGUGGGGUAGUGGCUUACCAAGGCUUUGACGGGUAGCCGGCCUGAGUGGGUGACCGGCCACAUUGGGACUGAGAUACGGCCCAGACUCCUACGGGAGGCAGCAGUGGGGAAUAUUGCACAAUGGGCGGAAGCCUGAUGCAGCAACGCCGCGUGCGGGAUGACGGCCUUCGGGUUGUAAACCGCUUUCGCCUGUGACGAAGCGUGAGUGACGGUAAUGGGUAAAGAAGCACCGGCUAACUACGUG